CAGCAGCCUCCCCGUCCACCUGGUCAUCAGCCAGGCACCUCACACGCGGGUCCAGCAGGUCACCUGCCCCAACCCUCCCGCCUUGUUUGUGUCUUCAAGCCCUUGCUGAGGGCCCCUGCUGCAUCCCCAGUCACCAGCCUGGAGAGGACACCCGGGCUGCUCUCUACACUGCCAGGGCACCCUCCUCUCCACCCUCCUCACGCCAAGGCAGCCAGCAGGACCCCUGAGCCAGCCUCGGGGCUGGAGGGCUUCGGGUUUUACUCUAAUGGUGCUGGGAUCGUCCGGCCAGAGACAAUGAAGUUGACCCCUGAUGCUGAGAUCCUGAGCCCCACGGGGUCACCACAUCCCCACGUCUGCCAUGACAACAGUCCCAGCUGCCCAGGGCUGGGGAAGGCCUGCCUGGCACCCCGCAUACCAGGAAGGAGCAUGAUUGGCUGUUCUGGCCAUGCCAUGUGCCCCUUCCUGAGGCUCCUGCCAGGCUGACAGGAAACAGCCCAGAGCUGAGGUCUUUGAGCCGGUCAUUCCAACAUUGCAAGCACCACCCAGUCCUCCUGGCUGAAGUUGAGUGAGGGUGAUGCCGGUCUCCCCCAGCUCCAGGCUGCCCAUGCCAGAAGCAGCCCAGUCCACACUGCCUCUGGCAUCCACGCGGAAGACAAGGGGCUCUCUGACGCCGACCAUGGCUGUGCCCUGGGCCCAGGCCUCCUGGGCCAGCAGCUUGUUGUUGGAGUUGUUGGAAUUGGGGUCCCCUCCGGGGGUCGCACCGGGCAGUGUGAAGAGAUGCCCCGAUGAGCUCCUGGGCACCUCUGUGGUGGGAGACACACCCUGCGGGCCCAUCUUCUUCACCCGGACUUCAAUGGUCUCCUCCACCUCCACCCACUUGGGCUGGGGCCCCGAGAGUCCGGGCAGAGCUGGAGAGUGGGCCUCGGCCUCCGUCACAUACAGUGUGGGCACCACGGGCUUCUGGCCUGGUUCUGCCUCCGGCCUGCGGGGCUGGCCAGCACCUGGCAGGUACAGCAGGUUGGGGGCCAGUAGGCCUGGCCUCAGCGGGCUGGCAGAGCAGCGGGAAGGUGAGCGGGAGGGGGACUUGCUGGGGGACCGUCGUUGGCCACGUGGGCUCUUCACCACAGUGGUGAUGGUCUCUUCUCUGGGGGAGGGAGGAGAGGGCCCGAGAAAAGAUGGGCACAGCGCCCAGGAUUGCCAGGGCAGCAUGAGAGCUCAGGUUAUUGUACCAGCAAGCCAGCAGUGAGAGUGCACAAAGAACUCUUACACAUGCAUGUGAGCCCAACCUACAGAGUCCCCCACCCCCUGCCACAGAACUAAAGAAACAAAGCACAAGGUCCCAUGUGGCCAACCUGUCUCUGGUGUGCAGAUCUGAGAACAAGAGGUGAGGUACGUGGGGAGGCCCGUGCCGCACUGCAUAGGCAAGCGCCUCCAAAAACCGGGUCACAUCCUGAUUGCAGUGGCCCCGGUGCCCGUCUCCCCUCCAGGUCCAUCCCACCUUUGUGCUUUGUGUCAUGGGGGAUGGUGCGUGGCCAACUCUCAUAGGGCAGGGCCUGCACACCCUGAAACUCCUCAGCCAGGGACGGGCUGGACAGCUUAUGCCGUGGGGGUGGGGUGGGGGCUGAGCUCAGACCUGUUCUCCUGGCCUUUGGGUCUGAAAGUGUGAGGCCCAGAAAGGUUUUAGGCAGGCCAAGGGAGAAACCUGGGUGAUACGUGGCCCCAGACUUGGCUUGGCCAUGAUGAGCCGUGUGAUAUCAGACAAGCCCCUCCUCCUGCCUGGCUCCAUCUCCCAAAAUGGGAUUGGGGAGGAGUGACGGAGGCAGAAUGCAAGGUUGGCUGUACGUGGCUGUGCAUGGGGCACUGGCUGGGAACUUUGCAAGCUCUCUUGUCUGACUCUGCAGUAACCUGGGAGAGGGUCUGAUCCCACUUUAUAGGGGACAGAGAGGGUCAAAGAGGCUCAAAAUCUGCCUGGGGCCAAGAGGGAGAAGCAGAGCAGUCAGCCCAGGUCCUCCUCUGGUGCCCUGUGCCCCUGACCUUGCUGAGCACUGAGAGCAAACUGAGUUAACACGUAGGGAAGCAGAACGUGCUGAGUAACACACAACACAUACCAUUUCCCUGCCUGUUACUCAUUUUGCCCUCAGCCUUGCACUUCCCUCAGGCUCAAGACAAGGGAUGUGGCAUGUAUGAGGUGACAAAGUCGUCACCAAGUGAGCUACUGCCAGCUGUCUGCUUUGUCCAAAGUACUGUCUCUUUCUCAUUUAGUUUUGCUUUCAUCUAACUCAGGGCUCCAUCUGGAAGCAGUUGCUCCCAGGCAUGAGCCCAGAGAUGUGUGACCACCCCUUGGGGUGCACAGCAAUGACAGGUCCUGCCUCCUCCAGCCCUCAGCUAUUAAGGAGGGAGUGAUAUAUUCCACUUAACUGAUGGGGAAGCUGAGGCUCAGAGAUGUGGCCCACUUGUGCCCACAGGCCUGAUUUCCUGCCUCACACCCAGGCUCUAGGGCAGUAGGCUUGUUGCUGAGAGCCUGGGCCUAACCCCAUCUGCUCACCUCAUGUUGCCUGAUCUGCUGAUGCAGGGUGGUAAGUUGAGUGCAGCCCAACAGGUGGAUGGGGACUCCUAAAUAUCCCCCAAAUGCUGGACUCACUGCCACCCCCACAAGGACACAUGGGCAUCCUGUACUGAGACUGCAAGCACAGCAUAUGGGGUCUGUCUCGAAGCCCUGUUUCCUUCUCAGGUCUACUGCCUCCCCAGUGCCUCUCCCUGUGUGGUCCACCCUUGGGUUCAGCGCUAUGCCUAUGCACUUGGCUCCCUCCAAUCCUCAAGCUGAGUGGGUAAAUUAUGCUUUGCAGAGUGAGGGUUGCCACCUUCCUAAGCCUGGAACAGACUGGACUUGUAUGCUUGUAAAUCACCUGGUCCUCCUUUCCCUAGGCGUGAGUCGCCUCUGAAGCUUUGCCAGUGGGGCAUUCUGGCAUCAUCUCUGCUCCUCCAUUUUCUUAUCCAUCAAAUGUAGAUAAUAAUAGUGCUCCCAAAGGGACAAAAUGUAGACCUACUCUAUGUGAGGCUCUGGCACCGUUGCAUACCUCCAGGAGUGGGGUGCUCACCAGCAUCCAGGCAGCCCCAUCUAUUGUGGGGUGGCAUCAUAGGAGCAACUUGUUUUAGGGGAGGAGGGAGAAAGCCAAGGAAGGGUUAACCCAGGAUCUCAACAAAUGUCUGGCAAUGGGAUUUUCCCACAAUACGGCCAACUGAAGGCCCCUUUAGGAGGUUGUAGGCCCCUUGAGAACUAAGAGUUUUCCCAUGCUGGAGCUUCUCAGCCAUCUGGCCUUAGGAAACCACAGUCUUUCCUGCCUCCUGGCUUUUGCAAGCUCUUCCAUCACUCCCGCCUGCACACACCUUCUAUUGGAAGUCCUCUCAGAUUAUUCAGGUCAAAACCAACUCUACAUUUAUGGGUUCACCCAUUUCUGGUCCUCUUGUGUUACCUCAGCAGCAGCAGCAUGUGUGAUUUUCCUAAUCCUUGAGGCACUGAAGGAUGAAGAAAGGGACGGUGGGUGUGGCACUGGGGAAGUGGCUUCCAGUCAUUAGCCACCCAGAGCUAACCUCCUCUCUUCCCUGAACUUCAGUUUCCCCAUCUUCCAAAUGUGAAAAUCGGGCUUGGGGACCUCUAAGGGCCCUAAGGCUGUGCUGUCC
rnacentral:lncRNA from 1 species